rnacentral:rRNA from 1 species
UACGAAGGGGGCUAGCGUUGUUCGGAAUUACUGGGCGUAAAGCGCACGUAGGCGGAUAUUUAAGUCAGGGGUGAAAUCCUGGAGCUCAACUCCAGAACUGCCUUUGAUACUGAAGAUCUUGAGUUCGGGAGAGGUGAGUGGAACUGCGAGUGUAGAGGUGAAAUUCGUAGAUAUUCGGAAGAACACCAGUGGCGAAGGCGGCUCACUGGACUGGUAUUGACGCUGAGGUGCGAAAGCGUGGGGAGCAACAGGG